ensembl:lncRNA
CCAGAACCCACGGGCCAGAUGGUGAGUGAGGACUGCAGGAACCUCACUCGUGCACAUGGCCCUUGUCAGAGCAGCAUCGCUCUUGUCCACAAGCCGUCCCUCAUGCAAAGUGAGGACAGCAGACUCCCUUGGAGGGUUUUGAGGGCUACAGGAUGGGGCGCAGGGUGCCCUGGGGACAGGACUUGGAGGGAGGUGCUCCAUGCUGGGAAUACUCUGCAGGCAUUCUGGAUGUGGGGGACCCAAAGUGGAGCAGGAACAACACCCCAGGGGACUGCGGUCCAUGGAGUAUACAGACUGAAAGAAGCAGAAAACGUGAGGAGGAAGGAGAAGAGGCAGAAAAGAACAAGAAACCAUCACAAACCAACGCAGCCAUCUACAAAAAUGAGAGCCUCCUUGCCUAUUCGUUGGAUCUGUUUCUACUGUUGACCCUAUCACAUCUUACCAGUGGAAAACCUACUGAAAUCAUUAAUUGGCGAGAGAGCAUGGUUAUGGUUUUAUUGCUAUCAUGAAAAUCUAAAUCCUGGAAAAUUAUGAGUGUAAAUGCAAGCAAAUCAAAGUAAUCAAACUAAUUUCUCAUUAUUGAAUUACUAUCAAGCUCCUCACAAAAUAAUUCCCACAAAAAAC